UACGUAGGGGGGCAAGCGUUGUCCGGAUUUAUUGGGCGUAAAGAGCGUGUAGGCGGCCAGGUAGGUCAGCUGUGAAAACUCGAGGCUCAACCUCGAGAUGUCGGCUGAAACCAUCUGGCUAGAGUCCGGAAGAGGAGAAUGGAAUUCCCGGUGUAGCGGUGAAAUGCGCAGAUAUCGGGAAGAACACCCGUGGCGAAGGCGGUUCUCUGGGACGGUACUGACGCUGAGACGCGAAAGCGUGGGGAGCGAACAGG
rnacentral:rRNA from 1 species